GACGAACGCUGGCGGCGUGCUUAACACAUGCAAGUCGAACGGUAAGGCCCUUCGGGGUACACGAGUGGCGAACGGGUGAGUAACACGUGGGUGAUCUGCCCUGCACUUCGGGAUAAGCCUGGGAAACUGGGUCUAAUACCGGAUAGGACCACUGCCUGCAUGGGUGGUGGUGGAAAGCUUUUGCGGUGUGGGAUGGGACCGAGGGCUAUCAGCUUGUUGGUGGGGUGGUGGCCUACCAAGGCGACGACGGGUAGCCGGCCUGCGAGGGUGACCGGCCACACUGGGACUGAGAUACGGCCCAGACUCCUACGGGAGGCAGCAGUGGGGAAUAUUGCACAAGGGGCGCAAGGCUGAUGCAGCGACGCCGCGUGAGGGAUGACGGCCUUCGGGUUGUAAACCUCUUUCAGCACCGACGAAGCGCAAGUGACGGUAGGUGCAGAAGAAGGACCGGCCAACUACGUGCCAGCAGCCGCAGUAA
rnacentral:rRNA from 1 species